rnacentral:rRNA from 1 species
UACUCCUACGGGAGGCAGCAGUGGGGAAUAUUGGACAAUGGGGGGAACCCUGAUCCAGCCAUGCCGCGUGUGUGAAGAAGGCCUUAUGGUUGUAAAGCACUUUAAGCGAGGAGGAGGCUACUGAGACUAAUACUCUUGGAUAGUGGACGUUACUCGCAGAAUAAGCACCGGCUAACUCUGUGCCAGCAGCCGCGGUAAUACAGAGGGUGCGAGUGUUAAUCGGAUUUACUGGGCGUAAAGCGUGCGUAGGCGGCUUUUUAAGUCGGAUGUGAAAUCCCCGAGCUUAACUUGGGAAUUGCAUUCGAUACUGGGAAGCUAGAGUAUGGGAGAGGAUGGUAGAAUUCCAGGUGUAGCGGUGAAAUGCGUAGAGAUCUGGAGGAAUACCGAUGGCGAAGGCAGCCAUCUGGCCUAAUACUGACGCUGAGGUACGAAAGCAUGGGGAGCAAACAGGAUUAGAUACCCUGGUAGUCCAUGCCGUAAACGAUGUCUACUAGCCGUUGGGGCCUUUGAGGCUUUAGUGGCGCAGCUAACGCGAUAAGUAGACCGCCUGGGGAGUACGGUCGCAAGACUAAAACUCAAAUGAAUUGACGGGGGCCCCCACAAGCGGUGGAGCAUGUGGA